rnacentral:rRNA from 1 species
AUUGAACGCUGGCGGCAGGCCUAACACAUGCAAGUCGAGCGGAUGAAGGGAGCUUGCUCCUGGAUUCAGCGGCGGACGGGUGAGUAAUGCCUAGGAAUCUGCCUGGUAGUGGGGGAUAACGUCCGGAAACGGGCGCUAAUACCGCAUACGUCCUGAGGGAGAAAGUGGGGGAUCUUCGGACCUCACGCUAUCAGAUGAGCCUAGGUCGGAUUAGCUAGUUGGUGGGGUAAAGGCCUACCAAGGCGACGAUCCGUAACUGGUCUGAGAGGAUGAUCAGUCACACUGGAACUGAGACACGGUCCAGACUCCUACGGGAGGCAGCAGUGGGGAAUAUUGGACAAUGGGCGAAAGCCUGAUCCAGCCAUGCCGCGUGUGUGAAGAAGGUCUUCGGAUUGUAAAGCACUUUAAGUUGGGAGGAAGGGCAGUAAGUUAAGACGUUGCCGUUUUGACGUUACCAACAGAAUAAGCACCGGCUAACUUCGUG